rnacentral:rRNA from 1 species
AAUUUUGGACAAUGGGGGCAACCCUGAUCCAGCCAUCCCGCGUGUGCGAUGAAGGCCUUCGGGUCGUAAAGCUCUGUCCUCAGGGAAGAAGAAAGUGACGGUACCUGAGAAGAAAGCCCCGGCUAACUACGUGCCAGCAGCCGCGGUAAUACGUAGGGGGCGAGCGUUGUCCGGAAUUACUGGGCGUAAAGGGUACGUAGGCGGCUAUAUAAGUCAGGUGUGAAAUACCAGUGCUUAACACUGGAAUUGCAUUUGAAACUGUGUAGCCUGAGUGCAGGAGAGGAAAGUGGAAUUCCUAGUGUAGCGGUGAAAUGCGUAGAGAUUAGGAGGAACACCAGUGGCGAAGGCGACUUUCUGGACUGUAACUGACGCUGAGGCACGAAAGCUAGGGGAGCAAACA